rnacentral:lncRNA from 13 species
CCCGUCGGUGAAUCAUCAGAUGACGACGACGAUACUCGAGGUAAUUUUGACAGAGUUCCAUCCUCAGCCGAUGAGGCUAUAUUUACUCCAGUGCAAGCAAACGAGACGGAGGACGAAGAAGAAAGAGAGGAAAGAGCGACGCAGGAGAAGGA